AGUGGCGGACGGGUGAGUAACACGUUGGUACUUGCCCUCUAGUGGGGAAUAACUGCCCGAAAGGGUGGCUAAUACCGCAUGUGAUCUUCGGAUCAAAGCCUUCGGGCGCUAGAGGAGAGGCCUGCGUCCCAUUAGCUAGUUGGUAGGGUAAUGGCCUACCAAGGCGACGAUGGGUAGCUGGUUCGAGAGGAUGACCAGCCACACUGGGACUGAGAUACGGCCCAGACUCCUACGGGAGGCAGCAGUAAGGAAUCUUCCACAAUGGACGAAAGUCUGAUGGAGCAACACCGCGUGCAGGAUGAAGGCUUUCGGGUCGUAAACUGCUUUUAUAGAGGAAGAUUAUGACGGUACUCUAUGAAUAAGGACCGGCUAACUACGUGCCAGCAGCCGCGGUAAUACGUAGGGUCCAAGCGUUAUCCGGAAUCACUGGGCGUAAAGCGUGCGUAGGUGGUCUGUUAAGUGAGAUAUUAAAGCGUGUGGCUCAACCAUAUCGUUGUGUCUCAUACUGGCAGACUAGAGGACGGGAGAGGCAAGUGGAAUUACUAGUGUAGCAGUGAAAUGCGUAGAUAUUAGUAGGACACCAAUGGCGACGCAGCUGGCUGACCGCCCCUGACACUGAGGUACGAAUCUGGGGAGCGACAGAUAGAAUACCCUGGUAGUCCAACG
rnacentral:rRNA from 1 species